rnacentral:siRNA from 1 species
UACUCACCGGGCAUGGGAUUGAUG